rnacentral:rRNA from 1 species
UGAGCAAUCUGCCCUUCUCAUCGGAAUAAGCGUUGGAAACGACGUCUAAUGCCGAAUACGACCUCCUUUCGCAUGAUCGGAGGUGGAAAGCUCCGGCGGAGAAGGAUGAGCUCGCGGCCUAUCAGCUAGUUGGUGUGGGUAACGCCCACCAAGGCGACGACGGGUAGCCGGCCUGAGAGGGUGACCGGCCACACUGGGACUGAGACACGGCCCAGACCUCCCGUACGGGGAGG